UUGAACGCUGGCGGCAUGCUUUACACAUGCAAGUCGAACGGUAACAGGCCUUCGGGUGCUGACGAGUGGCGAACGGGUGAGUAAUGCAUCGGAACGUGCCCAGAGGUGGGGGAUAACGCAGCGAAAGCUGUGCUAAUACCGCAUGUGAUCUGAGGAUGAAAGCGGGGGACCAGGCAGCAAUGUUUGGCCUCGCGCCUUUGGAGCGGCCGAUGUCAGAUUAGGUAGUUGGUGGGGUAAAGGCCUACCAAGCCGACGAUCUGUAGCUGGUCUGAGAGGACGACCAGCCACACUGGGACUGAGACACGGCCCAGACUCCUACGGGAGGCAGCAGUGGGGAAUUUUGGACAAUGGGCGCAAGCCUGAUCCAGCAAUGCCGCGUGCGGGAAGAAGGCCUUCGGGUUGUAAACCGCUUUCGUACGGAACGAAAAGGCUCUGGCUAAUACCUGGGGCUGAUGACGGUACCGUAAGAAUAAGCACCGGCUAACUACGUG
rnacentral:rRNA from 1 species